UGUAUGCUAAGGCUGUUGUUUUAAAUUGUUUGAUCAGGAAUCUACCAAGUGAGUUGGCUUCUGCAGUGCCCCAGACCAUCACUGUCACCCCAGAAAAGAGUGAGGCUAUUCAAAGGCUUCAAGAUAUGGGAUUUGAUAGAGAUCUUGUGUUGGAGGUGUUCUUUGCAUGCAACAAAAAUGAGGACCUGGCAGCCAACUAUCUUUUGGAUCACCAGAAUGAAUUUGAAGACUAAGAAGAUGGUUUUGUUUCAUCUUCACCAGCUAUACUCCUUUGAUGUCGUUGCUUAUCAUCUGAACUCUUUGGAGAAGUGGCAAUGUUAAUACUUAUUUGCUUAGCUUUAUUAUUGAUCCUCGUGAACCAUACUGCCUGUAGAUUAUUAAUUUUAGACCAUUGACU